UGUGUGUUAGUGGAAGCGUCUGGAAAGGCGCGCGAUACAGGGUGACAGCCCCGUACACAAAAAUGCACAUAUUGUGAGCUCGAUGAGUAGGGCGGGACACGUGGUAUCCUGUCUGAAUAUGGGGGGACCAUCCUCCAAGGCUAAAUACUCCUGACUGACCGAUAGUGAACCAGUACCGUGAGGGAAAGGCGAAAAGAACCCCGGCGAGGGGAGUGAAAAAGAACCUGAAACCGUGUACGUACAAGCAGUGGGAGCACGCUUAGGCGUGUGACUGCGUACCUUUUGUAUAAUGGGUCAGCGACUUAUAUUCUGUAGCAAGGUUAACCGAAUAGGGGAGCCGAAGGGAAACCGAGUCUUAACUGGGCGUUAAGUUGCAGGGUAUAGACCCGAAACCCGGUGAUCUAGCCAUGGGCAGGUUGAAGGUUGGGUAACACUAACUGGAGGACCGAACCGACUAAUGUUGAAAAAUUAGCGGAUGACUUGUGGCUGGGGGUGAAAGGCCAAUCAAACCGGGAGAUAGCUGGUUCUCCCCGAAAGCUAUUUAGGUAGCGCCUCGUGAAUUCAUCUCCGGGGGUAGAGCACUGUUUCGGCAAGGGGGUCAUCCCGACUUACCAACCCGAUGCAAACUGCGAAUACCGGAGAAUGUUAUCACGGGAGACACACGGCGGGUGCUAACGUCCGUCGUGAAGAGGGAAACAACCCAGACCGCCAGCUAAGGUCCCAAAGUCAUGGUUAAGUGGGAAACGAUGUGGGAAGGCCCAGACAGCCAGGAUGUUGGCUUAGAAGCAGCCAUCAUUUAAAGAAAGCGUAAUAGCUCACUGGUCGAGUCGGCCUGCGCGGAAGAUGUAACGGGGCUAAACCAUGCACCGAAGCUGCGGCAGCGACACUAUGUGUUGUUGGGUAGGGGAGCGUUCUGUAAGCCUGUGAAGGUGUGCUGUGAGGCAUGCUGGAGGUAUCAGAAGUGCGAAUGCUGACAUAAGUAACGAUAAAGCGGGUGAAAAGCCCGCUCGCCGGAAGACCAAGGGUUCCUGUCCAACGUUAAUCGGGGCAGGGUGAGUCGACCCCUAAGGCGAGGCCGAAAGGCGUAGUCGAUGGGAAACAGGUUAAUAUUCCUGUACUUGGUGUUACUGCGAAGGGGGGACGGAGAAGGCUAUGUUGGCCGGGCGACGGUUGUCCCGGUUUAAGCGUGUAGGCUGGUUUUCCAGGCAAAUCCGGAAAAUCAAGGCUGAGGCGUGAUGACGAGGCACUACGGUGCUGAAGCAACAAAUGCCCUGCUUCCAGGAAAAGCCUCUAAGCAUCAGGUAACAUCAAAUCGUACCCCAAACCGACACAGGUGGUCAGGUAGAGAAUACCAAGGCGCUUGAGAGAACUCGGGUGAAGGAACUAGGCAAAAUGGUGCCGUAACUUCGGGAGAAGGCACGCUGAUAUGUAGGUGAAGUCCCUCGCGGAUGGAGCUGAAAUCAGUCGAAGAUACCAGCUGGCUGCAACUGUUUAUUAAAAACACAGCACUGUGCAAACACGAAAGUGGACGUAUACGGUGUGACGCCUGCCCGGUGCCGGAAGGUUAAUUGAUGGGGUUAGCCGCAAGGCGAAGCUCUUGAUCGAAGCCCCGGUAAACGGCGGCCGUAACUAUAACGGUCCUAAGGUAGCGAAAUUCCUUGUCGGGUAAGUUCCGACCUGCACGAAUGGCGUAAUGAUGGCCAGGCUGUCUCCACCCGAGACUCAGUGAAAUUGAACUCGCUGUGAAGAUGCAGUGUACCCGCGGCAAGACGGAAAGACCCCGUGAACCUUUACUAUAGCUUGACACUGAACAUUGAGCCUUGAUGUGUAGGAUAGGUGGGAGGCUUAGAAGUGUGGACGCCAGUCUGCAUGGAGCCGACCUUGAAAUACCACCCUUUAAUGUUUGAUGUUCUAACGUUGACCCGUAAUCCGGGUUGCGGACAGUGUCUGGUGGGUAGUU
rnacentral:rRNA from 1 species